rnacentral:rRNA from 1 species
AGGAUUUGAGAGAGAGUCAGAGAACGUGAAAUCGCUGGAGUGGAACCGGAGACAGUUGAUGUUGCUUGGAGACAAGUUUGGUGGCUGGUCGCUUAGUUGUGAUCGUCGCCGGAUGUCGUUUCCUAUGCUACGCCGACGGCGUUGGUCGCUCGUUCUGGCCCGAUAGUGUUGCCCAGCUCGCAAGAGUCGGUGUCUUGUUAUCGGUCGUUGGUUCGUGGUGGCUAGCGUUUAGUUACGCUAGUGUGUGUGACGUCGGUGUGAAAGUCGACGACGUUUCCGACCCGUCUUGAAACACGGAUUGCGGAGUGCUUGUCUACUGCGAGUCAAAGGGUGUUAAAACCUUGCGGCGAAAUGAAAGUGAAGGUCAGUCUUGAAUUGGCCGACGUGGGAUCGGUGCUCCUCGGAGUGCUGCGCACCACGGCCCUGUGCGUGUCACUUGUGACUGUGCAGAGGUUGAGCAGUUGGCAAACGACCCGAAAGAUGGUGAACUAUGCCUGAGCAGGAUGAAGCCAGAGGAAACUCUGGUGGAAGUCCGUAUCGGUUCUGACGUGCAAAUCGAUCGAUAGACUUGGGUAUAGGGGCGAAAGACUAAUCGAACCAUCUAGUAGCUGGUUCCUUCGCAA